rnacentral:rRNA from 1 species
GCUCGCGUCCGAUUAGCUUGUUGGCGGGGUAACGGCCCACCAAGGCUACGAUCGGUAGGGGUUCUGAGAGGAAGGUCCCCCACAAUGGAACUGAGACACGGUCCAUACUCCUACGGGAGGCAGCAGUGAGGAAUAUUGGUCAAUGGGCGGAAGCCUGAACCAGCCAUGCCGCGUGCGGGAAGGAGGCCCUAUGGGCUGUGAACCGCUUUUGCCUGGGGGCAAUAAGGGCGUCGUGCACGUCCGAUGAGAGUACCAGGCGAAUAAGCAUCGGCUAACUCCGUGCCAGCAGCCGCGGUAAUACGGGGGAUGCGAGCGUUAUCCGGAUUCAUUGGGUUUAAAGGGUGCGUAGGCUGUGCGUCAAGUCAGGGGUGAAAUUCCGGGGCUCAACUCCGGGGCUGCCCUUGAUACUGUCGCGCUGGAGUGCGGAUGCCGCCGGAGGAAUGAGUGGUGUAGCGGUGAAAUGCUUAGAUAUCACUCAGAACACCGAUUGCGAAGGCAUCUGGCGAAUCCGUAACUGACGCUGAGGCACGAAAGCGUGGGGAUAGAACAGGAUUAGAUACCCUGGUAUUCCACGCCGUAAACGAUGAUGGCUAACCGCCGGCGACACACUGUCGGUGGCCAAGCGAAAGCGAUAAGCCAUCCACCUGGGGAGUACGUCGGCAACGAUGC